rnacentral:lncRNA from 1 species
UGGAUGUAUGGAAUUCUCAUUUUGAGGCGAUAGGGAAGCUGCUGCCUCGUCUGAAGUUCCUCUCGCUAAGAGGACAGAGGGAAGUCUCGCGAGUGCCAGAUUCCGUGGGUGAGCUGAUGCAGCUGCAAACUCUGGAUAUCAGAGACACCUCUAUAGUCGCGCUACCACCAUGCAUCACCCGGCUACAGAAGCUGCAGUACAUUCGUGCAGGUACCACCAUAGCGUUCACGCAAGAUGACAGCUUGUCCUCGGGGGAGCAUUCGACUCCAUUGAGUAGGAGGUCAAACGCUAUGGCGUCCCGCUUGCUUGCCAGAUUCAGCAGACGUGGACCUGAUGGCUCUUGCAGGAAUGGUGUUGAGGUGCCAAGAGGGAUCGCGAGACUGAAAGCCUUGCAGACGCUUGGUGCUAUACAUGUAAAUACUGCAGGGGAUGCCACUUUUAAUGAGAUCGAUUCCCUUCUCUCUCGCGACCAGUUGAAGAAACUCGAAUUGUUCAGGAUCAACCGCAAAACCAGCAUUUGGAAUCAUUGGAGCAGUUUACAUAUGGCACAGCAUUUGGAAUCAUUAUCUUUGCAGUUUGAGAAGAGCGAUCAUUUUGUUCAUUGGGACUACAUCUCCCUUCCCAGAAGCCUACGGAGCCUAAAGAUGCACGGCCAUGUAGAGCAGGUCCCACCAAGUAUCAGGGAUCUUGGUAUUCUCGUGAAGCUGACUUUAGAGAAGACUACACUGUUCACAACAGGUGAGAUAAAGGUCAUCGGGAGCUUACCAAGUCUGCGUACUCUGCGCCUCCGUGUCAAUAAAGAUCAAGAUGGCGAGCUCCAAUUUCACUCUGGCCUUUUCAGCAAACUCGAGGUCCUCGAGAUUGCCUGCAAAUGGAAAUUACGUGUAAGGUUUGACAUUGAUGCAAUGGAAAAGCUUGAGCAGCUGAAGAUUCACUGCCUUCAGGGGUCGGAGAUGCAGUUCUCUGGGUUAGAGCACCCGGUUUCCCUCAAGCAAGUCUGGCUUAUGGGUUCCUUCGACGACGCACUCAAGGUAGCAUUGGGGCAGCAACUUGUCAAGCAUCUGAAGAAACCUGCUCUGAAACUGGAGGUUGAGCCACGUUCGUCCCAGGAGUCGUCCGAGGAGUCGAACUAAGGUAUGUAGGCAAUUGUUUCUGUUGUAUGCCUGCCAUUCGUACUUCCUUUCUUCUAUUACUCUAUCUAAACCUAGCAUCCGGUUUACCACAGGGAAGUCCGACACUCCAACUUGCAGGUUUGGAAGACGACACGCUAGGUGAUCAUCCUAAGAAAUCAGGCAUGCUGGCUCGCCGACCGGCUCGGCAUCGAGGAGGCGGCGCUGGGGACCAACCCAGAGUUUCAUUCCUUACGUGGCAUACUUGCCUGGAUGCAUUCUUACUUCAGUUACUUGCAUGCUUGCCCUCGGCAUCUCAAGAAAUGCAUGCUUUAUCUAUCGGUCUUUCCUCAAGACAGCAUCAUCCGGAGGAUGCGUUUGGUGAGGCGGUGGAUCGCGGAGGGCUACUCAAAGGGCACCGACAGCAUUAGCAUGGAGAAGUACGCGGAGAAGCUUUUUGACGAGGUUGCUGCACUGAGCAUCAUGCAGCCAGUACUCAAGGCAAGUAAGGUUAUUGGGUACCGAGUCAAUGGUUUCUUCCGCGAGUAUAUCAUCUCGCGGCCGGUGGAAGAGAGAGUUUUCUUUCCAGUGGAAGUCUCUGCACUGGAGCGCGGGCAUGGCCGGCUGACCACAGAAGGCAUAGGACAGCACCUAGCUGUUGGGACAUUCUGGAAUGCUGACCGGGUUGUGUUCGAGGGUUUGGACUUCUCACGGCUUCGGUCUUUGACAGUGUUUGGAAAGUUUUGGCCAUGGUACGUCUCGGACAGGAUGAGGGUGCUUCGGGUGCUGGAUCUAGAGAAUGCAAUAGGAGGGAAUUCUGCUUUUGAGGAGAUAGUGAAGCUGUCUCGUCUGAAGUUCCUCUCGCUAAGAGGACAGAGGACUGUUUCGCGACUGCCAGAUUCCGUGGGUGAGCUGGUGCAGCUGCAAACUCUGGAUAUCAGAGACACCUCUAUAGUCGCGCUACCACCAUGCAUCACCCGGCUACAGAAGCUGCAGUACAUUCGUGCAGGUACCACCAUAGCGUGGACGCAAGAUGACAGCUUGUCUGCGGGGGAGCAUUCGACUCCAUUGAGUAGGAGGUC